AGUGAACGCUGGCGGUAGGCCUAACACAUGCGAGUCGAACGGCAGCACAGUAAGAGCUUGCUCUUACGGGUGGCGAGUGGCGGACGGGUGAGGAAUACAUCGGAAUCUACUUUUUCGUGGGGGAUAACGUAGGGAAACUUACGCUAAUACCGCAUACGACCUACGGGUGAAAGCAGGGGAUCUUCGGACCUUGCGCGAUUGAAUGAGCCGAUGUCGGAUUAGCUAGUUGGCGGGGUAAAGGCCCACCAAGGCGACGAUCCGUAGCUGGUCUGAGAGGAUGAUCAGCCACACUGGAACUGAGACACGGUCCAGACUCCUACGGGAGGCAGCAGUGGGGAAUAUUGGACAAUGGGCGCAAGCCUGAUCCAGCCAUACCGCGUGGGUGAAGAAGGCCUUCGGGUUGUAAAGCCCUUUUGUUGGGAAAGAAAAGCAGCAGGUUAAUACCCCGCUGUUCUGACGGUACCCAAAGGAUAAGCACCGGCUAACUUCGUG
rnacentral:rRNA from 1 species